rnacentral:rRNA from 1 species
AGAUGAGAUGAGUAUUCUAAGGCGCGUGAAAGAACUCUGGUUAAGGAACUCUGCAAACUAGCACCGUAAGUUCGCGAUAAGGUGUGCCACAGCGAUGUGGUCUCAGCAAAGAGUCCCUCCCGACUGUUUACCAAAAACACAGCACUUUGCCAACUCGUAAGAGGAAGUAUAAGGUGUGACGCCUGCCCGGUGCUCGAAGGUUAAGAGGAUGCGUCAGUCGCAAGAUGAAGCGUUGAAUUGAAGCCCGAGUAAACGGCGGCCGUAACUAUAACGGUCCUAAGGUAGCGAAAUUCCUUGUCGGUUAAAUACCGACCUGCAUGAAUGGCGUAACGAGAUGGGAGCUGUCUCAACCAGAGAUUCAGUGAAAUUGUAGUGGAGGUGAAAAUUCCUCCUACCCGCGGCAAGACGGAGAGACCCCGUGGACCUUUACUACAACUUAGCACUGCUAAUGGGAA